rnacentral:lncRNA from 1 species
UUUUAACAUAAUUGCCUUUGAAAAAACAAAAGACAAAAGAAUUGGAGUAUGAGUUGGAGUUGGAGAGCAAGCACUUUGGUAUCUCAAAACCGUGUGAUUGUACAAAUUAUCGAUAUCGCUUCAAAGAGUAAUUACGCCGAGAUUUGAUCACCUUUUUUUUUUUUCCACAAAAUGGUCAUUGUCUUUCAAUCCACAUAGCCUUUUUCUUAUUACUUUCCUCUAAUGUUCUUUCAUACCAAAUGCGGCCGUCAAAGGCAUAUGUGUGGAAAAGAAAUUUUCCUAUAUGCCAAACACUGAAACAUUCAAGGUACGUAAUUACUUGGUGUUUGUAUGUCCCACGUAAACAUAAAACAAAACAAUUAACAAAGCUUUUCGGUUGUGUAAACUCCCUGCAAUCCUCUGUACCCUACGUGCUCUGAAUCAAGACGCUUAACUUGAAGAAGUCUCCUACUUGUACAUACUUCGAUCGGAUCGAUGCCAAGCGUGGCGUGUUAUGAUCAGAGCCAGUUUCGUCAAGGCCAUAAUCCCAGAAUUAUUAUAUUUUUCUUUCCCAUGGAAUGUUCUUCAACUUGCCUGUUAGAACAAGGGAUGCUAGAAUUAGAAUAUAUAUGUAUUGUCCUUUCUUGAGUAAUCUGGCAAGUAAAUCAUGGUAUAAAAGGGUUUUGCUUUUCUUACGGAACUAGCCAUUGGUGUUUAUUUUGAGGACAAUGAAUGAAGAAUAAGAGUCCUCAAAAAUCCUAAAAAUGAAUGAAAGACAACCCUGAAAUGGAAAACGCUGACAGAAAGAAAUGAUUCAUUGCACAAAUCACAAAUCAUUUCCUUUUGACUAUUUUUUUAUUCUUAUUUAUUUAAAGGGGGAAAGGAUUUAAUUUCUCUUGAUUCUCCUCAUUGUAGGGUUUCUCAGAUUACAGUAAAUGUUAGAACUCAAAUCAGAAGUUGGCCAAAAAAAAACUCAAAUCAGAUACCUUUCCCCAUCCUGUAACCUUAAUUAUCAGCCAGGAAGUGGAAUUUUCUCCCCAUUCACUCCCCUUUGCCUCAUGUUCUUACUUCUUACAUGAAUUUCACAAUUAAGAUUCCUACAACUACCUUUUUUUCUAUUGGAUAACGAAGUUAUUGCAAAUUGGCUAAAGGCUUUAAUUUCUUCCAAUUUGACAAUAUAUAGUUAACAAAAGAUGUUCUUGGGUGGCAUGACAGCUAUCAUAAAGCUUUAAAUAUUGUAAUAGACAAUUACUAUCAAAAUUUCUAUCAAUCUUAGAUUAUAUGAAUAUAUAUUUCUAUUUUGAAUGCAAGAACUCGUGGUCUUAAGUGAUGUGCAAGUUUGCCCUGGUUGCAUGAAAACUUUCUUACAUACUCAAAUCCUAUUAAAUUAUUACUUAAUAGCUUUUAUAUAUUAAAAGUUAAAUAAAUUUUAAUAUAUUUUUUACUAAAAAUUACAACAAAAUUUUCCGUUGAAUUAAUACUAAUCAAAAUUUAAUUAUAAAUGAUCUUUUAAUAAUGUUUUGAUAUUAUUAAUUUCAUUAUGGAAUUCUAUAAAUUUUUAAAUUUUAAUUUUCAAAACAAAGUUUUAUAUAAUUUUUUUUUUUUAUAAAAAAAUUUCACUAACUUUAUUUAAAUAAUUUAUCUAAGUCUUACCCACGUGGUCUCACAGCAGUUUUUGAAAUUAAUUUUUUUGAUUUCGUGGUCUAUAAAAUCAAAAAACGAGACCGAUGGCGUUCCAGUUUGGCAGGCUAACCAUGAAAGAAAAUUAAUAGUUAGGUUUUUUUUUUUUUUAAAAGGGAAAUAUUGAAGAAGCAACGAAGCAAGUGUUUUAGCAUGCUCGUGGUUUGUUUGGAUCUGAGGCUGCUUUCCCAAUUGGCCUAAUUUUUAUUUGCAAGUGGCAUUGAGGGCAACAAUUAAGAUUAGGUCAGAUUUUGUUAAGAAGAAUAGAAUACUAUGGGUAAUGUUUAUAUGGCCCAACAAUUCAGGCAGGUACGCGUAGUUAUCUCCAAAAUGUACCAAUUAAUAUUUUCAACCUUUAUUCUAACUUGUUUCUUUCAGCAUUGCAUUUUCUUUGCGACUGGAGGAUAUGCUGGUUAAGUGGAUUUGUUACAAACCGCACAGCUUUGGUCGGCCUCCAACCAUUUUUUUAUUGAGUGAUAAGGAGUUAUUUGGUUUUGUGCGGCAUACAUUUUUUUUUAAUUAAUAUAAAUAGAUUUAUUUACGUUAAAUUUAAUAAAUCUAUGAAAAAUUAUUUUUUAUAAUAUUUUAAUAGAUGCAAACCCAGAUAUUUAAAAAAUCAUAAACAAACUUUCCUUACCGUUUUAACCUUUGGUGAUCUCUGAUUAAAAGUGAGAGUUUAUGUCUCUUCAGAAAACAUUUAAGCAAUUAUAGUCAUAUAUUUGAUCCAUCAUCUGAAAAUAAUUUAUCUUUUUUGUAGGGAUAAUGUCCUAUAUGCCCUUCUCUUGAACUAUUACAUUUUUUUAAUAUGGUAUUUAAAUAAAAAUUUUUCUAAUCAAAUACAUAAACUACAUUUUCGUAUGUUAAUUUGCCUUAACCAUUAACUCUAAAUACUGAUAUAGCAUAAAUAUCCAAUAAAAUAUUGAUAAUUAUAAAAAAAAAAGUUCAAUCAACACUCUAUCAUCAAUAUCAUGUCAACAUUUAAAGAAAUUAUUUUAAAAAUUUUAAAAAAAAUCUUCUUUAUCAUCUUCCUAUUCAAAAUCAAAAGACCUAAUUUCCUAAUAAAAGAAUUCAAAAACACAAGUCAAAAAUUUUCAAUCAAACAAAAAACAAAAAAGCCUUAAAACUAGACAAUUGAAGAAACCUAGCAAAACCCACAAUCUCAACAACACAAGAAUUGAAAUCCAAACUCAAAAAUCAAGUCAACCAAAAAAAAGUUUUAGCAUAAAUGACCGAAAGCAUUUAAGCGAAUAUCUAUAAGCCAAAUCAACAUUUCCAAACCAAAAUCAACCACAAGCAAAAACUGAAAGUUACAAGCGACACAAAGAAAACUCAAGCAACUCAAUAGUCAUAACCUUGAAAUUUCAUCAACCUGAAAAUACUAACAAACAAUUUAACAUCCCCAAACCCAAAUCUUGCACACAACCAAUAAAUCCAGCACACCAUACUCGAACUCAAUAAAAAACAACUACAAUCCACACCCACAAUCACAAAAAACCAAAGGCACAAAAAAGGGAAAAGAGAUUAAAGUUUCGAUAUUAAAAUUUUAAGUUAAGAUUGUGGGAUUUGAGUUUUGUUUUUAAAAAAGACUUUAUGUUAAUGGUAGACCUAAUGCCAAAAAAGAUAAUGAAAGCUGUGGUUUUUGAAUUUUAAUCUUUAAUUCUUGAAGGAUUCUUUGAAAACUUAUUUAAGAGAGAAAAUGAGAAGAAUUUGAAAGGCUACGAUUUUAGCUUUAGAUCUAGGACAAUGGAAGUCGAUUUGUGAAAAUUCGAGUUUAGAUCAAAGACGAGAAGGCUGAGAGGAAGCUCGUGGUGAAAUUUAGGUGUCAAUGGAGGUCAGUUGGCCGAUGAUGAAGGUAACUAGUGAUUGGUUUGUGGAAAUAGAAAAAUCUGGUGGAUGUGUUCUUCACUUUUUAAAUUCUAAGGUUUUAUGUUUGAGAGAGAAAAAAGAAGAGAGAAAAGCAAAAAUGAAAAAAAAUUUUAAAUUUUUUUUUAGAUUUAUCAAUAUAUAACCAUAUAAGCAUGACAUGUAUGUAACAACUUAAGUUGACAUAUCAUUUUAUAUCCAGAUGAUAGUUUUUUAUUGGUUAAAAUAAUCAAGUGAGCAAUUUGACUAAUAAAGCUAAUUCUUAAACCAAAUUGAUAUACGAUUUUAGAGUUUAAGUACCUAUUUAAUAAUUUUUUUUAAUUUAAAUAUCAAAUCCAAUAAAAUUCAAUAAUUCGGGGGUUAUAUAGUACAUUAUCUCCUUUUUAUUUGAAAAUGAAGAAAAAUUUGUUUUUAAUAUAAAAUUAUUAACCAAUCAUUAAAUUAAAUGAUCAAAUACAUUUUAUAUUAAUAUUAAAGCAAUGAUAGUCAAAAUACAUCCCAAAAUUUUGAUAGUUGCUUUUACUAUCCCUUCAUUCUCUCUCUUUCUCUCUCUCUCUCUCUCUAUAUAUAUAUAUAUAUAUAUAUAUUUGCAGUACGGUUUACUUUUUAUUUUUUUAGACAUAAAUAAUAAAAGUAAUGAUAAAAAUAGAAAUCAUAUUAGAUUUUUUAGGAUGGAUUAUAUAAGAUGUUAAAACUUUCUUCAAAUGUAAUUUUAUUCUCAAAAUUAAUUUUGAGAUGAUGAUCAAAAUCUUUUUUUUAGAGACUUGUAAUUAAAUUUAUGAUUAUCUUUAAAAUAAUAAAUUUAAUUAAAUGAAUAAUCAUAUUUAAUUAAAAAAUUGUGAUAAUCUUUUUUUUUUAAAUAAUCGAGUUUACAAACUUAAUGUUAUAAUAAUUUAAUGACUCCCAUCGGUUUAAAAAAAAAAUUGAUGACCAAAUAAGCAAACAGGAAUUGACAUGUGCGCAGCGUAUGUAAUUUCUAUAUGGGCCUUGUUAUUGUGGCCCAUUUGGUCAAUUGACAAUUCAUAUAAUGGGUCCAAUUGGAUGAUUUUAAAGACCCAAAGGCCUAAGACAAAAGCCUGACCCUUAGGUCAACAUUUAUU